rnacentral:rRNA from 1 species
CCUACGGGCGGCAGCAGUGGGGAAUAUUGGGCAAUGGGCGAAAGCCUGACCCAGCAACGCCGCGUGAAGGAAGAAGGCUUUCGGGUUGUAAACUUCUUUUGACAGGGAAGAGCAGAAGACGGUACCUGUCGAAAUAGCCAAGGCUAACUACGUGCCAGCAGCCGCGGUAAUACGUAGGUGGCAAGGGUUGUCCGGAUUUACUGGGGGUAAAGGGCGGGGAGCGGGGCUGCGAAGUCAGGUGUGAAAUCCGGGGGCUCAACCCCCGACCUGCAUUUGAAACUGUUGGUCUUGAGUAUCGGAGAGGCAGGCGGAAUUCCGGGUGUAGCGGUGAAAUGCGUAGAUAUUAGGAGGAACACCAGUGGCGAAGGCGGCCUGCUGGACGGCAACUGACGGUGAGGCGCGAAAGCGUGGGGAGCAAACAGGAUUAGAUACCCUAGUAGUC